AAUCAACGCUGGCGGCGUGCCUAACACAUGCAAGUCGAACGCGAAAGCCCCGCAAGGGGUACGUAGAGUGUCAAACGGGUGAGUAACACGUGGGUUACCUGCCUUCGCGUGGGGGAUAACGUCCCGAAAGGGACGCUAAUACCGCAUGACAUCCUGCUUUUGAAAACGCGGUGCUCUAAGCUGGGGAUCGCUAGACCUAGCGCUUGAAGAGGUGCGCGCGCCUGAAUAGCUAGUUGGGGGUGUAACGGUUCCCCAAGGAGACUAUCGGUCACCGGCCUGGGAGGGCGGACGGGCACACUGGGACUGGGACACGGGCCAGAAUCCUUCGGGGGGCAGCAGGGGGGAAUUGUUCGCAAUGGGCGCAAGGCUGACGGCGGAACGCCGGGUGGAGGACGAAGAUCUUCGGGUCGUAAACACCUGUCGAGCGGGACGAACGCUUCGCGGAUGAAUAAUCCGCGGAAUUGACGGUACCGAUAAAGGAAGCCCCGGCUAACUCCGUG
rnacentral:rRNA from 1 species